rnacentral:rRNA from 1 species
AUUGAACGCUGGCGGCAUGCCUUACACAUGCAAGUCGAACGGCAGCACGGGUGCUUGCACCUGGUGGCGAGUGGCGAACAGGUGAGUAAUACAUCGGAACGUACCUUAUCGUGGGGGAUAACGCAGCGAAAGCUGUGCUAAUACCGCAUACGCCCUGAGGGGGAAAGCGGGGGAUCGCAAGACCUCGCGCGACUAGAGCGGCCGAUGCCUGAUUAGCUUGUUGGUGGGGUAAAAGCCCACCAAGGCGACGAUCAGUAGCUGGUCUGAGAGGACGAUCAGCCACACUGGGACUGAGACACGGCCCAGACUCCUACGGGAGGCAGCAGUGGGGAAUUUUGGACAAUGGGGGCAACCCUGAUCCAGCAAUGCCGCGUGAGUGAAGAAGGCCUUCGGGUUGUAAAGCUCUUUUGUCAGGGAAGAAACACCGGCUCUAACACAGUCCGGGAAUGACGGUACCUGAAGAAUAAGCACCGGCUAACUACGUGCCAGCCGCCGCAGUAA